rnacentral:lncRNA from 1 species
AGAGUACGAAGCCCCACUAGCAGGCUUUCGAAUGACAAAAGACUUGGCGGUGAAGAAGCUUUCAAUUCAUUCCGAUUCCCAGCUAAUCACCAGCUAGACUACUAGGGGCAAAGGCAUAAUGGUCGUGGCAAUUGACUACUUCACCAAAUAGGUAGAAGCAGAGCCCAUGACGACCACGAUUCAUACGGACAUAGAGCGUUUCAUAUGGAGGAACAUCAUUUAUCGAUUUGGCAUCCCUUAAUCCAUCGUCACCAACAACAACCCGCAAUUCGUGGGCAAAGAUUUGGCUAAGUUCUUCCAAAAAUAUG